GUGGGGAAUUUUGGACAAUGGGCGCAAGCCUGAUCCAGCAAUGCCGCGUGCAGGAAGAAGGCCUUCGGGUUGUAAACUGCUUUUGUACGGAACGAAACGGUCCUGGCUAAUAUCUGGGGCUAAUGACGGUACCGUAAGAAUAAGCACCGGCUAACUACGUGCCAGCAGCCGCGGUAAUACGUAGGGUGCGAGCGUUAAUCGGAAUUACUGGGCGUAAAGCGUGCGCAGGCGGUGCUGUAAGACAGGCGUGAAAUCCCCGGGCUCAACCUGGGAAUUGCGCUUGUGACUGCAGUGCUGGAGUGCGGCAGAGGGGGAUGGAAUUCCGCGUGUAGCAGUGAAAUGCGUAGAUAUGCGGAGGAACACCGAUGGCGAAGGCAAUCCCCUGGGCCUGCACUGACGCUCAUGCACGAAAGCGUGGGGAGCAAACAGGAUUAGAUACCCUGUAGUCC
rnacentral:rRNA from 1 species